rnacentral:rRNA from 1 species
CGUCAAGUCCUCAUGGCCCUUAUGACCAGGGCUACACACGUGCUACAAUGGCCGGUACAAAGAGUUGCGAUACCGCGAGGUGGAGCUAAUCUCAAUUAAACGCCGGUCUCAGUUCGGAUUGAAGUCUGCAACUCGACUUCAUGAAGUCGGAAUCGCUAGUAAUCGCGGAUCAGCAUGCCGCGGUGAAUACGUUCCCGGGCCUU